AUUUGAGUCUGUGUUGGUCUCCAGUAGCUGCCGACCCCGGAGCGGGCGCAGCCCCCCCCCAUGCGGGCCCGCCGCCACAACUCUUUUGGUCACAUAGUCCAUGCAUGGGUACCAGGUCAGCGCACAUUUGUCUGUUCGUCCCUGCAGGGAGGCCGUCAUCAUCUCCAUAUUGUAGAUGUCUUCCACCCUGGCGAUCCAUUGCCCCAGGGAGGGUACUGUUGUG